AAACCUGCGAAACUCGAAUGAACGAACGGAGAGAUUCAUCGUCAUUCCGCGGCGUACCCGUUCGCGCCUUGAUGUUUGCACUUGCGCGUCUCACGGCGUGUACGUGCGGGCACAGGUCGUGCGGGUCGACGUUCGCGGACGGCGUGCACUUCUCUCUUAGUAAACACUCCGCAAGGGGUGGAUACAUCGCGACCCGUUCUCUCUGUCGGUCUAAGCGUCGUUCGGGAGCCUAGCGGCCGCGUCUAAACAACGCCGGCCGUUAGACCGUGACGUACGCCGACCGGCGGAGGACGGUAUAUUCAUAUAUGGGAACCGCGCACGCGUUUCGACGCGUCAGGCCCGACGCAAGUGUUUGUGUCAUCGCCGACGUCCUGCCUAUGUGCGGACGACGACGUGGCGCCGCUGUUGUCGCAGCCGUGUAGUCUCUGACUGUGCGCGUGUCCGUCUGCGAUGUUUCAGUUUCGGGCACUCGCAGG
rnacentral:rRNA from 2 species